rnacentral:misc_RNA from 1 species
CCCCCUGUCCUCAAGUAAUACUUGCAUUCCGUCUGGCCUGGACUCUCUGUUGGUUCUUCACUUUCCUUCACCUUCUCCCUGGUAGCCUGGUUUUUCCUUCUUACAGGGUGAUUGAACUUGCAAUUGAAUCCAAAUUUGCAAGUCCCAGUUUUCAUAUAGUAGGAACAAUCUUCAGCUUCGGGUCUCACAGGAUACUGAUGCCUUGUGUCUCCAUUACUUCUCUCAUCCUCCUCCUCCACUCCAUCAUUAUCAUUAUCA